rnacentral:rRNA from 1 species
UCCGUAGGGGGCUAGCGUUGUCCGGAUUUAUUGGGCGUAAAGAGCGUGUAGGCGGUCAGGUAGGUCUGGUGUGAAAACUCGAGGCUUAACCUCGAGAUGUCAUCGGAAACCAUCUGGCUAGAGUCCGGAAGAGGAGAGUGGAAUUCCUGGUGUAGCGGUGAAAUGCGCAGAUAUCAGGAAGAACACCAAUGGCGAAAGCAGCUCUCUGGGACGGUACUGACGCUGAGACGCGAAAGCGUGGGGAGCGAACAGG